GAUAGGGUUGAGACUCCGCUUUCCUCAAGCCCCCGCCCUCUCCAAGCCUCUACCCACAGAAGGGUAGUUCUACAUCAAAGUUGGCAAACUUUCUGUAAAGGGCCAGAGAGCAAAUAUGCCAUUCAUUGUGGGCCAAACAACCUCUGUCGCAGCUGUUCAGCUCUGGCAUAGACAACAUGUAGACAAGAGUGUGGCUGUGUUCCAGUCCGACUUCAUAAAAACAGAUGGCGAGUUAGAUUUGGCCUGUGGGCCUUACUUUGCUAGCUAACCCUUGUUCUACAGGACCGUUGUGCACCUGCCCAACUCAGAAGAUUUAUGAUUUAAAAUUAUAUAGGAUCUGGGUUUGUUCAUAUUUCAAGAACAGUGGUUCUACCUGUAAUGUGGUGACUUCUCUUUGUUGUACCAUGAUUUGGAGAGUUUCCAAAACUCUCCAGGAACCGAAUAAUCCUCUUUGGUGCUUGUGGAGUGACAGGAUUUGCAGCCCUUCCUCCAGUGGCUUAAGGCAUUUCUUCUGUAGGAAAGUGUUCAGGAGAGGUUCUGCUCUGCUCUAGCAGUGAGCCUUCUCCCUUUCCAUCCACUACUUCAACCUGCCUCCUGCAUACCCUAAGGGGUGUGUACAGGGUCCAGGAUCAUCAAUUCCAGGUAAGCGCAUGUGUGCAUCCUUCCUCUCCUUACUGGGUGAUGUUUGCCUUGAAUUGCGCUCUAGCAGCAGUUUUCUGAUAG